AAAAGAGUGGCGAACGGGUGAGUAACACGUGGGUAACCUGCCCAUCAGAAGGGGAUAACACUUGGAAACAGGUGCUAAUACCGUAUAACACUAUUUUCCGCAUGGAAGAAAGUUGAAAGGCGCUUUUGCGUCACUGAUGGAUGGACCCGCGGUGCAUUAGCUAGUUGGUGAGGUAACGGCUCACCAAGGCAACGAUGCAUAGCCGACCUGAGAGGGUGAUCGGCCACACUGGGACUGAGACACGGCCCAGACUCCUACGGGAGGCAGCAGUAGGGAAUCUUCGGCAAUGGACGAAAGUCUGACCGAGCAACGCCGCGUGAGUGAAG
rnacentral:rRNA from 1 species